rnacentral:rRNA from 1 species
UGGGGAAUAUUGCACAAUGGGCGCAAGCCUGAUGCAGCCAUGCCGCGUGUAUGAAGAAGGCCUUCGGGUUGUAAAGUACUUUCAGCGGGGAGGAAGGCGAUAAGGUUAAUAACCUUGUCGAUUGACGUUACCCGCAGAAGAAGCACCGGCUAACUCCAUGCCAGCAGCCGCGGUAAUACGGAGGGUGCAAGCGUUAAUCGGAAUUACUGGGCGUAAAGCGCACGCAGGCGGUUUGUCAAGUCGGAUGUGAAAUCCCCGGGCUCAACCUGGGAACUGCAUUCGAAACUGGCAGGCUAGAGUCUUGUAGAGGGGGGUAGAAUUCCAGGUGUAGCGGUGAAAUGCGUAGAGAUCUGGAGGAAUACCGGUGGCGAAGGCGGCCCCCUGGACAAAGACUGACGCUCAGGUGCGAAAGCGUGGGGAGCAAACA